CCGUGUUUAAUGUAACAGCUGUGUGUGUGGGACAGUCUACCAGGACCGACCCAGUCCACUCUGAGAUACCUGUCCUCAGAGGCCUUUGUCCUGCCGCUGAUACUGGCGCAGAUUGUUGUCCUGACCUCCUUUGAGUCGUGGAGGAGAGCCAGUGGGAAAAGCCAUUGAGAGACUGAAGGACAUGCUGGUGAUGAGCACCUCAGAUAAGCAUUUUCUGCUGAAGCAGCACACUCUCUCACUCAGACGCCAGAAGAAAACCUUCAAGGCGCCCACCACUGUUUCAGGCACUAGAGAGGGCAGCUCUACCACCAUGAAAGACCCCUCAGCAGGCAUCGGAGAGGACAGCCAUAUCGCUCAACUGAAGGACCCCUCUGCACAGCCUACAGGCAAUGACAGCCCAUCAUAAAGAUAGAUAGAGGACUCUAGAGCCCAACAGAGAGUUUUAGCAUGUGCAGCGACAUUCGGGACUUUCACCAUUCUGAAGUAAUCAACUGAGUGGAACUACCUAUGGUUUAAGAAAGCAUCACUUGAUUCCAUCCAGGUCAUCAGGAGGGUUCAACCAAUGAAUUAUCCUCGUGAGGAAACAUUCCAUAACUGCAGGUGGCUGUAAAUGGCCAACAUUGGCUUUACACCUGUUGAAACAACACCCUCCAGGUGGCAGGAUGCACCCUUUCAGUUUGUUUACCAACUCAUAGAAGUAGUAGAAGAAGAAAAUGAACUAGUUUGAAAUGAAGAUUUCCUCCAUGGCUCUUCCCAUGCUCCCACAGACGCCCUAUUGGGACAGAUACAAUGUUGUGUUCUCUAACUAUCUCUAUGCAGCCCAUAGAGUUAGAAAUAGAGCCCACCACCUAUCAUUGUGCCAAAUGCACCCUCUAUCCAACUCUAUGGAGCAGACAUUGCCAAAUUGCACCCUAUUCCAUAUUUAGCGCACAAAAGUAGUAGCAGAUGUGACCUUUGAGCUUUUUUGUCACUCCCUAACAUUGAGUUUAUUGCUCUGGGCUGUACCUACAUGUCAUAUACAGUAUUCAGAACAACACGCGUGUCAGUUACAGAACUUGUGUUACUGUAGUGAUGUGUUUAGUGGCUAUGAUGCAGUUGUAAAAGCUUCAUUCUCAGGUGUGUUGUAUGAUCGGGGAUGAUGUUGCUAUAUAGGCUGUACUUGGAAACAGCGUUAAGGACAGAGUACUACUAAUGUGUACUGUUAGAAUACUGAUGUGUUUAAUGGUUUUAUAUAUGCAGUGGGGAGAACAAGUAUUUGAUACACGGCCGAUUCUGCAGGUUUUCCUACUUACAAAGCAUGUAGAGGUCUGUAAUUUUUUAUCAUAGGUACAAAAUCCAGAAAAUCACAUUGUAUGAUUAUGUAAUUAAUUUGCAUUUUAUUGCUCACAGUUGAAGUGUACCUAUGAUACAAAUUACAGACCUCUACAUGCUUUGUAAGCAGGAAAACCUGCAGAAUCGGCCGUGCAUCAAAUACUUGUUCUCCCCACUGUUUAUGUAAAAGCUCUGACUAUGAAGUAGAUGUUGUCUCUGCAACAGCUUGAGUUUUUUUUUUAAAUACGUUUUUAAACAAAUUGAUCAAAUACUGUUUUUAAAUGUGAACUUCUAUGAAUGCCGUUUUAAAAGAGCUUCUAUUAAAAGCCUGUGUUGUUACGUCA